rnacentral:rRNA from 1 species
CAGCAGCCGCGGUAAAACCAGCAGCCCAAGUGGUGGUCGCGAUUAUUGGGCCUAAAGCGCUCGUAGCCGGGCCGGUAAGUCCCUUGUGAAAUCGGACGGCCUAACCGUUCGGCGUGCAAGGGAUACUGUCGGUCUUGAGGCCGGGAGACGUCCGAGGUACUCCGUGGGUAGCGGUGAAAUGUUCUGAUCCUCGGGGGACCACCGGUGGCGAAGGCGUUCGACGAGAACGGGCCUGACGGUGAGGGGCGAAGGCUAGGGGAGCAAACGGGAUUAGAUACCCCCGUAGUCCCUGUCUCUUAUA